GAAGUGUCUUUAGAUAACCUCUAGGAAGAGGAAAACCAGGGGUUCAGAUGUCCUGUCUCAGGUUGAGAAGUCACUUCUCAACCCAUUCUCAUCAUUGUGAAAUUUAGCAUGAAAUGACUGCCUUGAGACCCUGGAGCAGGGUUACCCCCUCUCCGUUCUGCAGCCAUCAACGCACCCUGUAGAAAUGUACUCCCGAUGUGGGCAGAGCUCUGGAAAGCAUUUUUAAAGAAAAGUGAGAAAUGAAGAUCUCUAGUCUACAAGCAUGCCAUCGUGUUCUCUUAAAGUAUCUGAAGAUCAACACAUUACCUCACCAAGAAGAUUCAAUCUCCUCUCAAAGAUGACCCCAUGUAGUCUACAUGUGCAAAAGAAUGUUUCUGCCAGCAGAAACCAAGCUGUGUUCUCUCCCCUGGGAUCAGGAGAAGCUGUGUCAUUCUUGAGUUCCUUUCGAGACCUCUCAGCAAUUUAG
rnacentral:lncRNA from 1 species